AAACCACGACAACGUUCUCCAUGUUAACUUGGCAACCCAGGAUUAUGCUGCCUGGAUUUUUAACAUAUUUCUCUUAAUAAUCAUAUACUUCCCCGUUCUCUAUGAAUCAUUCUAUCGGUCUUUGAGUGUUUUCAUUAAUAUGAAAAGAAGAGAAAAGGGAUCAGAUUUUAUCGAACAAAUCCUUGGAAAAUGUCCGUCACUGCUACUCCAAAUGAAUGCUAAAGGUCAAACUCCUUUGCACGUUGCAGCAAGGUAUGGACAUUCUGCUAUUGUGAAACUUCUAAUCAAGUCUUGUGCAAAAGCUAGAGAUGGAGAUUUAGAGCAGGGAAAUGGGUCAAAUAAGUGCAGUGAGGGAGAUGCUGAGGAUUAGGGAUGAGGAAUCCAACACGGCUUUACACGAAGCAGCAGGGUGUGGCAAUGUUGAAGUGGUGAAAGCAUUGUUGGAGUUUGAAGACCCUGAUUUUCAGUAUUCUGCAAACAAAAAACAGGAGACUCCACUUUACAUAGCAGCUAGGAGAGGAUAUGGGGGCAUGCUGAGUAUACUAUUAGAUAAAUCGAAAUCAACAGCUCAUGGCGGCCCCCACGGUAGAACAGUUUUGCAUGCAGCAGCUAUGGCUGGAGAUGCAGGUACGUUGUUGAGUUAGUUCCAAUUAUUUUAUUUUAUUUUAUUUUGAAAUAAAUAAAGAACAGGUAUAUUGACUUUUUAUUUUGCUUGGAUUUAGAGGCAAUAAGAGUAAUAUUAAAGAAGAAGGGGAAUUUGACAAAGGAAAGAGAUGAAGAUGGACACACCCCUCUUCAUUAUGCUGCACACUUAGGUUCUAGAUUAUCAGUUGUGGAGGAACUGUUAAAAGGGGAUGUAUCAGCUGCCUAUAUAGGUGAUAAAAAGAGGGGGAUGACACCCCUUCUUAUGGCAGCCAGGCAAGGUCAUGUUGGAACAGUUUCAAAGAUUCUCUCUUUAUGUCCAGAUUGUUGUGAAAAAGUGGACAACAAAGGUUUGAAUUUACUUCAUUACCUGGCUUUUAGAGGCCCUUUCUCUCCAUUAGGGCAUUCUCUUUUCAAGCGUGGUGGUAUUGAGAUUGCAUACCGAUCAUUCAGAAAUCUGAUGGAGUUGGAAGGUGCUUUUGGAAUGACACCUAAACAAGUUUAUAAUGCACUUUUCUAUCUGAGAGAUAUCAUAAUAAACAGGUGUGUAUUGCAUUUCCAUGGAUAUGGUUUUAUUAAUAUUUAAGUUUGGAAUUAACAUAUUUAAUAAACCCACACCACAAUCGGCUAAUGUGUCUGGCCUGGCAGAAGCAAAUCAAAGAAUUGUUGGAAGAGAUUGAGAAUGAUCAAGUGGCGGAGGAACCAGUUCAUCACUUUAGCUUAGGAAAUGUUUCUACAGAGAGCUUGGAGAGGACAAGAAAUUCUCAUUUAAUAGUGGCAGCACUUAUAGCUGCCAUCGCAUUUGCAGCGGUAAUAACUGUUUCUGGUGGUUCGAAGACUGAAAAAGGCACUCCCCUUUUGAUUGAUGAGGCAGCCUUUAAAGCAUUUGUUGUAACAAAUGCAAUCGCCUUUAUUCUCUCUGUUUCAGCCCUCACCACCCAUUUUGGGGUUCUGGAUAAUAUAUUAUCACAAUUUAGUUUUUGGCGUGAAGCAGUUUUACAUCGAAAUCGGUCUGUUGCUGAGAUCCUCGGCUAUGCAACGGUUGCGAUGUUGAUUGCUUUCAGCACAGGCAGUUAUGUGGUCUUACAACCUUCCUACGGGCUUGCAAUUGUUUCAUAUCUCAUUCCACCUGCUUUUUUCUCUGUAUGUGGAUAAUUUGUGUAAAGUGAAAUCUAUUAAAUAUCAAACAAUAUAAUGUAGGUUGUAAUCACUGAAUUUUGUCCCAGAAAUUUCGUAUUUUAAAUUUUUUUUACAUUUUGACCUCUAAACUUUUUUAAAAUUAUAUUUUGACCUCUAAAAUUUUUCAAAAUUACAUUUUAACCCCUAAACUUUUUUAAAUUACAUUUUGACCCUUAAAGUUUCUCAAAAUUACAUUUUGACCUUAAAAUUGUCUCAAAAUUAUGUUUCGACACCAGAAGUUUUACUAAAAUUGCAGUUUAGUCCAUCUGCUAGCAACUUGCACACCUACCCCCUUGAUUUCCGGCCACCGGCCUAAGGCAUGGCCUCCCUCUCCCCUAGCCACCUAAUCUCUGCAAAAAAGAAGAGAAAAACAUCUAUAAAAGGGGCUUAAAACCCCAAAAGACCCCCCACGAAAAAAAAAGAGAAGAAAGUUUCGAAAAAAAGGAAAUAGGAGAGAAAAGAGAAAGGAGAGGAAGAAAGGAAGAAGAGAAAAGAGGGGAAGGCAGUCACGACGGCGUGAAGCAGCAGCGGAGGCAACGACGGCGGCGGGCUAGAGUUUCCAAGAAAAAGAAAAAGAAGAAAAAAAAAGAAAAAAGAGAAAAAAGAUUAAAAUUUUUUUAAACAGUCAGGUCAACCCGACCCGACCUUUCCGACCAGUGACUCGGAUCCGUCCCGGCCCACAACAGCCUAAGCCCAGUAGCCCAGGCCCCCCAGAAAAACAAAACAGCAAAAAAAGAAGAAGAAAAAAAACAAAGCAGAAAAAUAGAAGCAGGCCCAACAGCAAGUGCAGGCCCAUUUCAGCAGCAGGCUCCAGGCCCAGCACAGCAGCAGGCCAACCCAGCAGGCCCACAACGCCAGGCCCAGUUCACCAGCAGCAGGCCCAAAGGCAGCAGGCCAAAAAAAGAAGAGAAAAAAGAGAGAGAAAAAAAAAAGAAAAAAAGAAAAAGCCCGAGUCGUGUAAACCCGUUCAAUCAAGCUCGUAUUUUCGGGCUCUUCGGUAAUUUCUUUUUUAAGUACUUUUAAUUUAAUUUACAUAUUUUUAUGACAUUUCAUAUUUAAUAUUCUUGUUUUUUUUAAGUAUUUUUUUAUUUCGUAUUAGGUUUUUUAAAGCAUUUUGUAUUCGUAUUUAAUUUUAUUUAAUUUCAUUAAUUUUAAUUUUCAUAUAUAAGGCGACGAACCGAUUUAAUAUUAAGCUGUAUAUUUUCAUAGCUAUGUUGGGUGAAUAUAUUUAGCUCGUGUUAAAUUCGUGACCCCCUUUUAAAAAAUUGAAAAACUUAAAAAUUCUCGUGUUUUGAAAUAAAAUAUGUAUUUUUGUAAUUAUCGAUAAAUUAUCAAAAUUUUUCCUUUUAAAAUGUAUAUGGUACGAUAAUAUGUAAUUUAUCAAUAUUUUCGUGUUUUCAACAAUUUUCGUGUUUUCAAAAAAAAUAAUUUUCGUGUUUAAAAAAAUUCUCGUGUUUUAAAGAUUUUCGUGUUUUCAAAAAUUUUCGUAUUUCUAAGAUUCUCGUAUUUCCCAAAAAUUUCCGUGUUUUCAAAAAAAAUUCCCGUGUUUCAAUCGGAUCACGAUUAAAUAUUAAAUUGAACUCGUAUUUUUGAAAAUUAAGACAACGUGCAUUUAACGAGAUACCAAUUUUGGGCGUCGCGAGGGUGCUAAUACCUUCCUCGUGCGUAACCGACUCCCAAACUCUAAUUUUCUCUGGAUUUUCACGUAGACCUAAAAUUACCUCUUUUUUAGAAAUAUUUAAAAAUAAAUUUUUCUUCUAAAAAGAGAAUUUAUUAGGUGUACGAUCACACUUAGGAAAAAAGAUUAGUAGCGACUCAUUCAAUUUUCAAAUUUACAAUAAUUACUUCGACUAACACCCGUGCCCAAAUUUUAGGUCACUACAUAGAUAUUGUAACUAAUUCUCGGUAGAACAAUUUUGCAUGCAGCAGUUAUGGCUGUAGAUGGCAGGCAAUUAGAUAUGGAAAUAUACUACCAACAACUUCAUUUAUUUCCCCAAAUAUCUGUGAAAUCUAUAUAUUAAACCAAAGUCGAUGUGAUUCCAACUGUUGAGCAGCAUAGGAAGUAACAAAAAUAUAUGUCUCACUGCAAGGAAUUCAAGGCUGCUACAAAGGCUUAUAGAUGCUAAGCAUCAGCUCUUAAAUUUGAUUAUGGCGUUCAACAUAGGGCGGCAUUGACUUCACCACAAAGAGCUGUACAUCUCAUUUUCUUCCAUUCUUCUCCUUCUUUGCAGUUUCCUUGAAACCAAAUUUCACCAUAAAAAACUCCUGCUUUAUUGACCUCACCUCUAACCACAGAUUGCAGUCUUUGUUUAAAGUAUAAAUUUAAUAAAAUGGUAUCCAAAUACAUCAUUAAUAUCUUUCAAAAUAAAUUUUAAAAAAUAAAUUUUAAGCAUAAUAAUAAAUUUAACUCUAAACACUUAUUAUUAUUUUUAAUUUGACUCUGUUUUAAAUUAAAUUUAAUGUUUCUAAUAGGAAAAAAGAUAAAUAAUAAUUUAAUUUCUUCCUAAUUUUUAACAUUUUUAGUUAGAUUUGAAUUUUUUUCAAGAAGAAAAAGUUGAAAAUCGAGAGGAAAAAUUUGAUUUUUCAUUCUCCUAUUGAAAAGGAAUAUGAAUGAUGUGUGUUGAAUAUUUUUCUCUUUGUCCUUUUAGAAGGUGUUAUUUGCCUAUUUAUAUCAUAUGGAUAUUGUUCAAUGACAUAACAUACUAAGUAGGCUUCAUGUAUGGAGACACUUAUUUUACUCUAGACUUGGCGCAUGUUCAUGUGACCUAUAUACAUGGGACUUCGUAGGUUAGCGAGCUUUGAAUGCGGAUCCCUCGUGAGCUCAACUUGCGAAAUCCCAUUGCGAGCCCAAUUUAACAACUUGUCCUGUGUAAAUUCACUGAAACUCAGCCCAAGCCCACUCAAGUUUUAGACCAACUAUGGGGAUUAUAAUAACAACAUAAAAUUAUAAUUUCAUAUAAUACUUUCUCAAAAAUUAAAUUGACAUAAAAUUAUAAACAUUCAAAACUAAAUUUUGCAUUAUCCCAAAUUAAUUGGGUGGAGACAUGCGUUUGCGCGCAUUAUCUAUAAAGCAUGUUAAAAAAUAUGGUGGAAGCAACUUCGUUUUAGGGUCAUUUACUUUUUUUUUUGUUACAAUUAAGUCAUUCAAUUAUUAGCGUAUAAUAAUAACUCUAGCCUUUCAAUGUCUACAAAUUUUAUUAUUUUGGUCCUAAUUCUAAAAAAUAAAUUUAGCCUUUAAUUUUACACAUUAAAUUAAUCUAAUCUCGAUUCUUAAAAAAUUGAAAUAAAACUUUAAAAAAUAAAAAAAAAUAAAUAUUUUUUUCUAUAAAAUACAUGAAAAAUACAAAAAUAUUUAUAAAUAAAUGAAUAUUAAAAAAAAGACUUUAAAGAAAAUGUAAGGUUUAGUCUAAAUGACUCAAUAAUAACUAACAUGAUCAAAUUUUAGUGUGUAACAAUUUUCUCAGCUACCAGACACUGUCUUGGAAUAAUAAAAGAAAACAUAGGGCAGCGUUGCCUCGACCACAAAGAGCUGUACACCCCAUUUUCUUCCAUUCUUCUCCUUCUUUGCAGUUUCCUGGAAUCCAAAUUUCACCAUAAAAAACUCCAACUUUAUUGACUUGACCUCUAACCCUAUAUAUUACCAUUACUAAAGUGUUGAUGUAUGAAAUUACAUAUAGUUGCGGCGACUUGAAUGGAGGUUAUGCAAGCAAGUAACUAACAGGUAGGGCAUUUGGUAAAUUCCUUAAUUCGCAGUACUUUUUUUUCUUGAGCAUGGAAUGUUUCAGGGUUUUUUACCUAAAUAGUAUAGAAAAAAAAAAUACUGAAAUAGGAUGUCAGAAAAUUUUUUUACCAAAAUAGGUUACUUUUUUCAUUGGAGCCUAUUAGAUAGGUGCCAAUGAAUAAAAAAAUAAUAAAUUUUUUUUUGAAUAAAAUAUUUUUUUAAUAAAUUUUUUAAAAAAUACAGGUCAAAUUACGGUCAAUAGGUCGGGUGGCGCCUACCUGGUGCCUCAUAAAGAGGCGCCAAGGUGCCUUAUAGGGAGGCGCCAAUGAAAUUUAUGUUAUAAAUUUUUGUGUUUGUAAUUAUUUAACAUUUAAUUUAUUAGUAAUAAAUUGCAAAAUUACUAAUAAGAUACUAAUAAAUUUAUAACAUAAUCCUAAAUUACUAACAAAUUAAUUAUAAAAUAAUUACAAUAUUCAUACAAAAAAUUACAAUAUUACAAUAUAUCCCGACAUUACAAUAUUCAUACAAAAUUAUAAUAUUACAAUAUUACAAUAUUCAUACAAAAAAAUUGCAAUAUUCAUACAAAAUUAUAAUAUUACAAUAUUCAUACAAAAAAUUAACAAUAUUCAUACUAAAUAUAGAUAAUACUAUAAUUAAUAAUUAAUAACAAAAAAAAUAAUUAGAAAUUUUAUAUGAAUAUUGUAAUAUUCUAAUUUUAGUAUNNNNNNNNNNNNNNNNNNNNNNNNNNNNNNNNNNNNNNNNNNNNNNNNNNNNNNNNNNNNNNNNNNNNNNNNNNNNNNNNNNNNNNNNNNNNNNNNNNNNNNNNNNNNNNNNNNNNNNNNNNNNNNNNNNNNNNNNNNNNNNNNNNNNNNNNNNNNNNNNNNNNNNNNNNNNNNNNNNNNNNNNNNNNNNNNNNNNNNNNNNNNNNNNNNNNNNNNNNNNNNNNNNNNNNNNNNNNNNNNNNNNNNNNNNNNNNNNNNNNNNNNNNNNNNNNNNNNNNNNNNNNNNNNNNNNNNNNNNNNNNNNNNNNNNNNNNNUUGUAAUUAUUUUAUAAUUAAUUUGUUAGUUAUUUAGGAUUAUGUUAUAAAUUUAUUAGUAUAACUUAUUAGUAAUUUUGUAAUUUAUUACUAAUAAAUUGAAUUUUAAAUAAUUACAAACACAAAAAUUUAUAACAUAAUCCUAAAUUUAUAACAUAACCCUAAACCCGGAAAAAUCACAGCAUUGGCGCCUCCCAGAUAGGCACCACCAUUGGAGCCUCCCAGAUAGGCACCACCAUUGGCGCCUCCUAGAUAGGCACCACCAUUGGCGCCUCCCAAAUAGGCGCCAAUACUAUGUAUUAUACGGGUUAUAUACUAACCCGGGAAAGUAUAAAAUUAUAUUUUAUUCAAAAAAAAAUUAUUAUUAUUUUAUUCAUUGGCGCCUAUCUAAUAGGCUCCAAUGAAAAAGUAACAUAUUUUGGUAAAAUUUUUUUUUGACAUCCUAUUUCCGUAUUUUUUUUCUAUACUAUUUGGGUAAAAAACCCAAUGUUUCAAGCUGAUUAAAAAAAAACUAAACUAAACUCCUCCUUUCUACCGCCGCAAAUCUGAAACCGUUCUUUGCCGUUUCAAAUCUCAGGCCUCCGCCCAUCCAUCUCCGAUUAGCACAGAGGGGAAGAAGGCUUUAUUGGCGCACCCACGAAGGUAUCACCUUCUCUUUUUUUUCUUUUGAAUCGCGAAUAAGUAAAAUAAAAUAAUCGAAAAAAAAGAAAGAAAACAGUAAACCACCUUUUAAAAACUGCUGAUUGUUCUCCUUUUUUAUUGAUUUUUUCGGGAUCCUUAAACAAUACAGAAAUGGGGUUUUUAUAGCCCCGAAAUACAGCGAUUUUUCUUCUAUUUUCCUAUUAUUUUUCUUUUUCCUUUUCUGUUACUGUUUUGUUAUUUGCUAUUCUUCCGUUUUUGCAGUUUGUUGCAGGCACAACUGGAGGAAGCGCGUGGUGAAGAUGCAGCAUGCGUGAAGGGCCUGCGUGCGUGGCUACUGGCCGUGACUGUAGGCUGUUUGGGUUUCGGCGUUUGGUGAAUAUUUUGGGCUGUGUUGGGUUUGGGUAUUUUGGGCUAGAGUUUGUAUUGGGCCUAUUGUAACUGGGUUAAGUUUGUGGGUUUCGGGUUCGGGCUAGGGUAAUGGGUUUAUUUAUUUUGAUUUUAAAUUUUUUUGACUUUGUAAUCUGGACUUUAGACUCUUAAUUUUGGGCCCGGGCUUAAAUGGGCUAUUACAACUAAAGUGUUCAAGUAUAUAUAGUUGUCAUUUGUCGGUGAGUUGAAUGGAGGAUAUGCAAGCAAGCAACUAACUGGUAUGGCAUUUGGUAAAUUUCUGAAUUUGCAGUACUUUUUUCUUGAGUGGAAUGUUUGAAGCUAAUUAAUUCAAUUUUGUUUGGUGUUAUCCAGGAAGAAAUAUAUCAACAAAAAUGGAGCCUGAAGAGAACAUCACUCACAUGGAUUCUUGGCUGUAUAAGGCAGCAGCAGAAGGCAACAUUGAAGUUUUCGAUAAUAACCAGAGGCUUCAACUUGAGUCGCUAAAGACCCCAAACCAUAACAACGUGCUCCAUGUUACCUUGGCAACCAAGGAGAACCCUGUCUGGCUUUUUAACAGAGUUCACUCAAUAUUCAUUUUCUCCCCCGCAGUAUAUUUAUUAUUCUGUCGGCAUUUGAAUUUUUUCAUUACUAUUAUAAAAAGAGAAAAGAAAUCAAAUUUUAUCAAACAAAUUCUCAGCAAGUGUCCGUCACUGCUACUCCAAACGAAUGCUAAAGGUCAAACUCCUUUGCACGUUGCAGCAAG
rnacentral:lncRNA from 1 species